GUCUAGGGCCACUUCACUCUGAAUGCUCUCGAUAUCUUCUGAUCUCGGAAGCUAAGCAGGGUCAGGCCUGGUUAGUCCUUGGAUGGGAGAAGUGUGGCUACUACAUAAUAGGUGCUCAAAAUG
rnacentral:rRNA from 1 species